rnacentral:rRNA from 1 species
GAUGAACGCUAGCUACAGGCUUAACACAUGCAAGUCGAGGGGAAACGAUAGAGAAAGCUUGCUUUUUCUAGACGUCGACCGGCGCACGGGUGAGUAACGCGUAUCCAACCUGCCCACCACUUGGGGAUAACCUUGCGAAAGUAAGACUAAUACCCAAUGAUAUCUCAAGAAGACAUCUGAAUGAGAUUAAAGAUUUAUCGGUGAUGGAUGGGGAUGCGUCUGAUUAGCUUUUUGGCGGGGUAACGGCCCACCAAGGCGACGACCAGUAGGGGUUCUGAGAGGAAGUUCCCCCACAUUGGAACUGAGACACGGUCCAAACUCCUACGGGAGGCAGAAGUGAGGAAUAUUGGUCAAUGGGCGAGAGCCUGAACCAGCCAAGUAGCGUGCAGGAUGACGGCCCUAUGGGUUGUAAACUGCUUUUAUAAGGGAAUAAAGUGAGUCUCGUGAGGCUUUUUGCAUGUACCUUAUGAAUAAGGACCGGCUAAUUCCGUGCCAGCAGCCGCCGUAA